rnacentral:rRNA from 1 species
AGGUUCGGAUUAUUGGGCGUAAGCGCGCGCAGGCGGUUUCUUAAGUCUGAUGUGAAAGCCCACGGCUCAACCGUGGAGGGUCAUUGGAAACUGGGGAACUUGAGUGCAGAAGAGGAGAGUGGAAUUCCACGUGUAGCGGUGAAAUGCGUAGAGAUGUGGAGGAACACCAGUGGCGAAGGCGACUCUCUGGUCUGUAACUGACGCUGAGGCGCGAAAGCGUGGGGAGCGAACAGGAUUAGAUACCCUGGUAGUCCACGCCGUAAACGAUGAGUGCUAAGUGUUAGAGGGUUUCCGCCCUUUAGUGCUGCAGCAAACGCAUUAAGCACUCCGCCUGGGGAGUACGGUCGCAAGACUGAAACUAAGGAAAUUUGACGGA